rnacentral:tRNA from 1 species
GGGGAGACUCCGGUGGUUUUGCCGUUGGCGGUGCUGGUGUCGCCGCCGGUUCCGUCGGUCUUGAGGUCGUAUUCGGUGCCGGUGCCGAGCUUCGCCU